GCGGACGGGUGAGUAAUGUCUGGGAAACUGCCUGAUGGAGGGGGAUAACUACUGGAAACGGUAGCUAAUACCGCNUAACGUCGCAAGACCAAAGAGGGGGGACCUUCGGGCCUCUUGCCAUCGGAUGUGCCCAGAUGGGAUUAGCUAGUAGGUGGGGUAAAGGCUCACCUAGGCGACGAUCCCUAGCUGGUCUGAGAGGAUGACCAGCCACACUGGAACUGAGACACGGUCCAGACUCCUACGGGAGGCAGCAUG
rnacentral:rRNA from 1 species